AUAACAGGCACACCCUUCCUGGAGAGACUGAACCUGCAGAGCAAGCAAAGGAGAUCUUAAUCCUCAGGCAAAAGAGCUGGCAGAUCCACAUGAACAGUAGUGACUCGGACCACUUCAGCAAGGAGAAGGAUGAUUCUUUUUCCUUAGACGGUGGAACUGAUGCUAAUCCCACCUUGUAUCGGUCUCUUACUGCCAGACGUUCUAGAAAAGCACCAAGUGUGAAAUCUAACCGAUCAAUGUCAGUUGGUUUUAUUAUACCACUGCAGCUGAAUACUACCCAACGAGUUAAAGAUGAAGAGGCUGGUAAAAUGACUAUCACAAAGGAGAAGUAAUGCCAUCAUUUGGCUAUCCCUCUGCC
rnacentral:lncRNA from 1 species